AUUGAACGCUGGCGGCAGGCCUAACACAUGCAAGUCGAACGAGUGGCGGACGGGUGAGUAAUGCUUGGGAAUCUAGCUGAUGGAGGGGGAUAACUACUGGAAACUGUAGCUAAUACCGCAUACCAUCGGAUGUGCCCAGGUGGGAUUAGGUAGUUGGUGGGGUAACGGCUCACCAAGGCGACGAUCCCUAGCUGGUCUGAGAGGAGGACCAGCAAAACUGGAACUGAGACACGGCCCAGACUCCUACGGGAGGAAGCAGUGGGGAAUAUUGCGCAAUGGGGGCAAGCCUGAGGCAGCCAUGCCGCGUGAAUGAAGAAGGCCUUCGGGUUGUAAAGUUCUUUCGGUAGCGAGGCGUUACCUACAGAAGAAGCACCGGCUAACUCCGUGCCAGCAGCCGCGGUAAUUC
rnacentral:rRNA from 1 species